rnacentral:piRNA from 1 species
ACCUUGAACACUGAGAUACUGUC